UGGAUCACCUCCUAACAGGGAGACAACAAAAUGUUAAAUAUUAAUUUUGUCACCUUAGGUCGAUCGGUAUCUCACAUUCUUGAUUAUUUAAGGAUUUUAUUUCCUAAGUUUUUUCUAGGUCACACCCAUUACUUUUCCUGGGCCAUUAGCUCAGGUGGUUAGAGCGCACCCCUGAUAAGGGUGAGGUCCCUGGUUCAAGUCCAGGAUGGCCCAUAUCUCUAUGUUGGGGGUAUAGCUCAGUUGGUAGAGCGCCUGCUUUGCAAGCAGGAUGUCAGCGGUUCGAGUCCGCUUACCUCCACUGAUCACCACCUCUUCAUAAUUUAUAGAAGGGAAUUGUUUUGAGUUAUGAUCAAAUUCUGAACGAAUCUAGCUUCCUAAUUGAAUCUAUUAAGAUGCUGGACUCAUUGAAUUAAUUUCAUUGUUUUCAGAGAACCUUGACAACUGCAUAGAUUAUUUUAAAGACAAUAAGCAUCUUUAAUGAUGCAGAUUUAUUAUUUGUGCGAAUGCAUUAAAUAACAAUUCUAUUAAGCUGAUGCUUCAAUUUUUGAAGUUAUUGGUCAAGCUACAAAGGGCUCACGGAGGAUACCUAGGCACACAGAGGCGAUGAAGG
rnacentral:tRNA from 1 species